GAUGAAGAACGCAGCGAAAUGCGAUAAGUAAUGUGAAUUGCAGAAUUCAGUGAAUCAUCGAAUCUUUGAACGCACAUUGCGCCCGCCAGUAUUCUGGCGGGCAUGCCUGUUCGAGCGUCAUUUCAACCAUCAAGCCCCCGGCUUGUGUUGGGGACCUGCGGCUGCCGCAGGCCCUGAAAAGCAGUGGCGGGCUCGCUGUCACACCGAGCGUAGUAGCAUACAUCUCGCUCUGGGCGUGCUGCGGGUUCCGGCCGUUAAACCACCUUCAUAACCCAAGGUUGACCUAGGAUCAGGUAGGAAGACCCGCUGAACUUAAGCAUAUCAAUAAGCGGAGGA
rnacentral:misc_RNA from 1 species